rnacentral:misc_RNA from 1 species
AAACUGCGAUAAUUAAUGUGAAUUGCAGAAUUCUGUGAAUCAUCAAGACCUUGAACGCAAACUGCGCCUACGGGUCCACCUGUAGGCACGCUUGUUUGAGUGUCGAUUCAUUCACUAUCCCUUUAUUAUUCCUAUUUUUUUUUAAGUGGGUAAUAAUAAAGGGGAAUUGGAGGUGUGGUUUUUCCUCUUUUUUUUUUAAAAAAAAAGAGGGGGGGACCACUCCUUUUAAGUUCAUCUUCGGACUUUGCUUUUCAAAAAAACGAAUCAGUUUCAGCAAAGAGGUCCAGCCAGUAGGUACCAAUACGUUGGUUUAUCGAAAACUCACAUCUCUCUUGUCUAAAUUUGACAUUCGUUUUUGAAGCAAUAUAAAUCAAGUUCGAAUAAAAGGAAAGAAUCAAAACAACCGAUCAUUUCUCAACAAUUCGACCUCAAAUCAAGUGGGAUUACCCGCUGAAUUUAAGC